GGAUUAGAUACCCUGGUAGUCCACGCCCUAAACGAUGAACACUCGAUGUUUGCGAUACACAGUAAGCGUCUAAGCGAAAGCGUUAAGUGUUCCACCUGGGGAGUACGCCCGCAAGGGUGAAACUCAAAGGAAUUGACGGGGGCCCGCACAAGCGGAGGAGCAUGUGGUUUAAUUCGAUGAUACGCGAGGAACCUUACCCGGGCUUGAAAGUUACUGAAGGAUCCAGAGACGGAUCCGUCCUUCGGGACAGGAAACUAGGUGCUGCAUGGCUGUCGUCAGCUCGUGUUG
rnacentral:rRNA from 1 species